UACGGGGGGGGGCAAGCGUUAUUCGGAAUUACUAGGCGUAAAGCGAGUGUAGGCGGACGAUUAAGUCCGAUGUUAAAUCUCCAGGCUUAACUUGGAGUCGCAUCGGAUACUGGUCGCCUCGAGUGGGGUAGGGGGGCAGCGGAAUUCCCGGUGUAGCGGUGAAAUGCGUAGAUAUCGGGAGGAAUACCAGUGGCGAAGGCGGCCUUCUGGACGGAUACUGACGCUGAGGCGCGAAAGCCAGGGGAGCAAACGGG
rnacentral:rRNA from 1 species